GUGGAUUAGAUACCCUGGUAGUCCUAGCCGUAAACGGUGCAUAUUUGCUGUAAAAGGAAUCGACCCCUUUUGUGGCGUAGCCAACGCGUUAAAUAUGCCGCCUGGGAAGUACGGUCGCAAGAUUAAAACUCAAAGAAAUUGACGGGGGCCUGCACAAGCGGUGGAGUAUGUGGCUCAAUUCGAUGCAACGCGAAGAACCUUACCUGGCCUUGACAUGUACGUAGUAGAAGGAUGAAAGUCUGACGAGGUAGCAAUACCAGCGUACACAGGUGCUGCACGGUCGUCGUCAACU
rnacentral:rRNA from 1 species